UAGCGCGGAGAGCCGAUUGAAAAUUGUUGAAAUUGAGGAAUUGCCUUGCCCGAGCUCCGAUAGGGCUUGGGUUAUUGAGAAAAUCUUAGCCCUAUCGAGCUUCCCGUACAUUUCCCGGAUGUUUUCCCAAAAUUUUUUAGCGUCUUCGGUCGGAGGAAGUUCGGCAGCAACUUUUGGGGUGAGGCAUUUGCCAAUCCAUGUUCGGACGAGCUGGUUGCACUUCCUCCGGUGACGUGCAAGCCGCUUAUCGACCGGAAUAGGGAUAGAACCAUCAAGAAACCCUUCUUUGUCCUUUGUCGUGAGUGCCCGUCGGAGCUCUCGGGACCAGACGGAGUAGUUUUCCGGCCAUAAGAGUUGUGUAGAGAUUAGGCGAAGCUCGGGUCCGUCGGCGGCAGUCGUGUAUAGGGGAUCCCCUGGCUCCGGUCGACCGUCGGAGGUUCCCGCAAAGGAAAAAAAUCCGGGUCCGAAACCGGGUAUGCCCAACUAGGUCCAGGCGCUUGAUACUGACUUGGGUAGGUCCAUCCAGAGCCGGGCCAUGGAUUGCCUUCCGGAAAAAUUGUAGGGCCUCCUCCUGGUCCACUACUCCCGGGGUGGGUCCUCUCCGUAGGGCCCAUACUGCUCUGGGGAGGUCAGACAGGAACAGGGAUCCAUUGAACAUAUGGCCCUCCAAAAAAUUGUUACGUGUGGGGCUGAAUGGGCCCACUGUUGUGCUGCGUUGGCUUCAAAAGCUCUUCAUGGCCUUCUCGAGUGGUCUGGGUAUCAUUUAUCAGAGUUGAUUGAGGGUCCAAGGGUGGAUUGCCCAACCCUUGAUUAUUGGAAAAAUUGUCCGAAUCCUCGGAGGUUCCGGACUUUGACCCUUGGUUUUUAGGCAUGGUUUUUGGCUUUAUAUAUGAUGUGACUCAAAAAAAUUUCUUCACAGGUUAUAUGCGAAGAAGGCAAAGUGGAUGGCUAGGCAGAAAAAUAUGCGGAAGCUAGGUUGAAAUCUUGCUCUGAUACCAUGUAAGAAAAAGCAAUGAAGGAAAGCUAUGGAGGAAUUGUAUUCUGUAUUGCUUUUUCUCUAUAUGAAACUGUAGAAUAACAGACCUAUUUAUAAUACAUAGAGGUCAAAAUAAAAACAGAAAAAAGAGAUAUACAGAAUAAUA